CGGGACACGUGGUAUCCUGUCUGAAUAUGGGGGGACCAUCCUCCAAGGCUAAAUACUCCUGACUGACCGAUAGUGAACCAGUACCGUGAGGGAAAGGCGAAAAGAACCCCGGCGAGGGGAGUGAAAAAGAACCUGAAACCGUGUACGUACAAGCAGUGGGAGCACAGAGCAAUCUGUGUGACUGCGUACCUUUUGUAUAAUGGGUCAGCGACUUAUAUUCUGUAGCAAGGUUAACCGAAUAGGGGAGCCGAAGGGAAACCGAGUCUUAACUGGGCGUUAAGUUGCAGGGUAUAGACCCGAAACCCGGUGAUCUAGCCAUGGGCAGGUUGAAGGUUGGGUAACACUAACUGGAGGACCGAACCGACUAAUGUUGAAAAAUUAGCGGAUGACUUGUGGCUGGGGGUGAAAGGCCAAUCAAACCGGGAGAUAGCUGGUUCUCCCCGAAAGCUAUUUAGGUAGCGCCUCGUGAAUUCAUCUCCGGGGGUAGAGCACUGUUUCGGCAAGGGGGUCAUCCCGACUUACCAACCCGAUGCAAACUGCGAAUACCGGAGAAUGUUAUCACGGGAGACACACGGCGGGUGCUAACGUCCGUCGUGAAGAGGGAAACAACCCAGACCGCCAGCUAAGGUCCCAAAGUCAUGGUUAAGUGGGAAACGAUGUGGGAAGGCCCAGACAGCCAGGAUGUUGGCUUAGAAGCAGCCAUCAUUUAAAGAAAGCGUAAUAGCUCACUGGUCGAGUCGGCCUGCGCGGAAGAUGUAACGGGGCUAAACCAUGCACCGAAGCUGCGGCAGCGACACUAUGUGUUGUUGGGUAGGGGAGCGUUCUGUAAGCCUGUGAAGGUGUACUGUGAGGUAUGCUGGAGGUAUCAGAAGUGCGAAUGCUGACAUAAGUAACGAUAAAGCGGGUGAAAAGCCCGCUCGCCGGAAGACCAAGGGUUCCUGUCCAACGUUAAUCGGGGCAGGGUGAGUCGACCCCUAAGGCGAGGCCGAAAGGCGUAGUCGAUGGGAAACAGGUUAAUAUUCCUGUACUUGGUGUUACUGCGAAGGGGGGACGGAGAAGGCUAUGUUGGCCGGGCGACGGUUGUCCCGGUUUAAGCGUGUAGGCUGGUUUUCCAGGCAAAUCCGGAAAAUCAAGGCUGAGGCGUGAUGACGAGGCACUACGGUGCUGAAGCAACAAAUGCCCUGCUUCCAGGAAAAGCCUCUAAGCAUCAGGUAACAUCAAAUCGUACCCCAAACCGACACAGGUGGUCAGGUAGAGAAUACCAAGGCGCUUGAGAGAACUCGGGUGAAGGAACUAGGCAAAAUGGUGCCGUAACUUCGGGAGAAGGCACGCUGAUAUGUAGGUGAAGUCCCUCGCGGAUGGAGCUGAAAUCAGUCGAAGAUACCAGCUGGCUGCAACUGUUUAUUAAAAACACAGCACUGUGCAAACACGAAAGUGGACGUAUACGGUGUGACGCCUGCCCGGUGCCGGAAGGU
rnacentral:rRNA from 1 species